rnacentral:rRNA from 1 species
CCUACGGGUGGCAGCAGUGGGGAAUAUUGGACAAUGGGCGAAAGCCUGAUCCAGCCAUGCCGCGUGUGUGAAGAAGGCCUUCGGGUUGUAAAGCACUUUCAGUGGGGAAGAAAGCCUUGGGGCUAAUACCCUCGAGGAAGGACAUCACCCACAGAAGAAGCACCGGCUAACUCCGUGCCAGCAGCCGCGGUAAUACGGAGGGGUGCGAGCGUUAAUCGGAAUUACUGGGCGUAAAGCGCGCGUAGGCGGUCUGAUAAGCCGGUUGUGAAAGCCCCGGGCUCAACCUGGGAACGGCAUCCGGAACUGUCAGGCUAGAGUGCAGGAGAGGAAGGUAGAAUUCCCGGUGUAGCGGUGAAAUGCGUAGAGAUCGGGAGGAAUACCAGUGGCGAAGGCGGCCUUCUGGACUGACACUGACGCUGAGGUGCGAAAGCGUGGGUAGCAAACAGGAUUAGAUACCCUGGUAGUC